GUGCUUGAUUUGGCAGCACAUAUACUAAAAUUGGAACAAUACAGAGAAAAUUAGCAUGGCCCCUGCACAAGAAUGACAUGCAAAUUCAUGAAGCAUUCCAUGUAAUC
rnacentral:snRNA from 1 species